rnacentral:rRNA from 1 species
GAUGAACGCUAGCGGCAGGCCUAAUACAUGCAAGUCGAACGAGAUUAUAGGGUAAGCUUGCUUACCUUAUAUGACAGUGGCGCACGGGUGCGUAACGCGUAUGCAACCUACCUUUAUCAGGGGGAUAGCCUCUCGAAAGAGAGAUUAAUACCGCAUAAAAACACAGUACGGCAUCGUACAAUGUUCAAACAUUUAUGGGAUAGAGAUGGGCAUGCGUGACAUUAGCUAGUUGGUGAGGUAACGGCUCACC